GAUGAAGAACGUAGCAAAAUGCGAUAAGUAAUGUGAAUUGCAGAAUUCAGUGAAUCAUCGAAUCUUUGAACGCACAUUGCGCCCCCUGGUAUUCCGGGGGGCAUGCCUGUUCGAGCGUCAUUUCACCACUCAAGCCUCGCUUGGUAUUGGGCAACGCGGUCCGCCGCGUGCCUCAAAUCGUCCGGCUGGGUCUUCUGUCCCCUAAGCGUUGUGGAAACUAUUCGCUAAAGGGUGUUCGGGAGGCUACGCCGUAAAACAACCCCAUUUCUAAGGUUGACCUCGGAUCAGGUAGGGAUACCCGCUGAACUUAAGCAUAUCAAUAAGCGGAGGA
rnacentral:misc_RNA from 1 species